AUUGAACGCUGGCGGCAUGCCUUGCACAUGCAAGUCGAACGGCAGCACGGGUGCUUGCACCUGGUGGCGAGUGGCGAACGGGUGAGUAAUACAUCGGAACAUGUCCUGUAGUGGGGGAUAGCCCGGCGAAAGCCGGAUUAAUACCGCAUACGAUCUACGGAUGAAAGCGGGGGACCUUCGGGCCUCGCGCUAUAGGGUUGGCCGAUGGCUGAUUAGCUAGUUGGUGGGGUAAAGGCCUACCAAGGCGACGAUCAGUAGCUGGUCUGAGAGGACGACCAGCCACACUGGGACUGAGACACGGCCCAGACUCCUACGGGAGGCAGCAGUGGGGAAUUUUGGACAAUGGGCGAAAGCCUGAUCCAGCAAUGCCGCGUGUGUGAAGAAGGCCUUCGGGUUGUAAAGCACUUUUGUCCGGAAAGAAAUCCUUGGCCCUAAUACGGUCGGGGGAUGACGGUACCGGAAGAAUAAGCACCGGCUAACUACGUG
rnacentral:rRNA from 1 species